CUGAAGUUGAAAUUUGCUAUUUAGCCUGAAAAUUUUGGAUCUUUUGGACUUAGUGGCGUUCCAUAGGGUUCUGCAUUUCGUGGUGGAUAAGGGAGUUUUAUUGGGUAUUUGGGUAUUUUGUGAAUAAGACCAUCGCCAUGGAUGGUCUUGGGGAAUCUUCUCAAUCUGGGUCUGGAGUUGUUAGUUCUCAAUCUUUGGAAAG
rnacentral:misc_RNA from 1 species